rnacentral:rRNA from 1 species
GACGAACGCUGGCGGCGUGCUUAACACAUGCAAGUCGAGCGGUAAGGCCCUUUCGGGGGUACGACGAGCGGCGAACGGGUGAGUAACACGUGGGUGACCUGCCCUUAGCUCUGGGAUAAGCCUGGGAAACUGGGUCUAAUACCGGAUAUGACUCCAUGACGCAUGUUGUGGGGUGGAAAGCCUUGUGCGGCUAGGGAUGGGCCCGCGGCCUAUCAGCUUGUUGGUGGGGUGAUGGCCUACCAAGGCGACGACGGGUAGCCGGCCUGAGAGGGCGACCGGCCACACUGGGACUGAGACACGGCCCAGACUCCUACGGGAGGCAGCAGUGGGGAAUCUUGCGCAAUGGGCGAAAGCCUGACGCAGCGACGCCGCGUGAGGGAUGAC